UUCCCUCUUCCAAAGCUGUAGAAGGAAACCGAGCAAGUCCAUUUUGAUUCGAUUCUCUCCUUUUCGGACCUCCAAUCGCUGCAUCAUGUGAAUGCUUGAUUCAGGAGAUGUCCGCCGCUCCUAUAGCCUCUCUUCCACCGAGGGUUCGCCCUCGCUUCCAUCCAGCUACGGAUGGUAUCAUUUGGCUCUCUUAUUUGACCUAAUUAGGGCUCUGGGCACGGAUUGGUUUUCCAUUUGGCGAUUUGAACGGGAGAAGUCCAUUUUUUAUGGGAUCGUUUUGGCUUGUCGGUUCCUAAAUCGGCAUCUUUCUCGGUGACGAAAGCUGCAAGCUCCAUGACAUGUUUCCAUUGAUGUUUGAUGCGGUUCGACCAGCAUGAUAUGUAUACAUAUUCGGAAGUUGAAAUUAUUCGUUUUGAAUAAGAACAAAAAAUGGAUCUCUUUGGUGUUGAUAAACUUUGCAGCGUAAGAUGCACUUCAGAUGCUAGUAACAGUAUCAAAGUUAAUAUCUGAGAUCAAAGAAGCAAGACUCAAGGGCAGAGCUUUAAGUGUUCGAUGGUUGUCUUCAAUCAUAUUUUCUACCGAAAUAUAUCAUCGGAUAACAACAGAAUAUUUGCUGCCCGAAAUAGAACAAAAAAGAUGUGGAUUGGUCAAGAUGUUGACUAACCUAGUUUACAGGAAAUAGUUGUUGCAACAUGCUGUACAUCAUUCUUUCCACAAAUAUUCUUGGCUUUGCCAGCAACAGAUACGUUUUUCUCCUAAGCAUAAACCAAUAAUUGUUUUUUUUUUUCUUUUUCCUUUAGUUUCUUAUGGCUGGUGUAACAUGGGAUAGCAUUUGAUUGAAUUUUCAGGGAAUUAUGGUAACCAGAAGAAGUUGCUCUACAUGUAAAGCUUUUGACCUUCUAUCUGCCCCAGGUUUUUAUAUAUAGUUGGACAAGUAGUAAAAUAGACAGAGCAGAUGGCUGUUGUAGAAUUUACUCCGAAAGGGGUUCCAACUGCAGUGAAGAAUAGAAAAGAAGAAGAAACAUGAUAAAUGUUAUCUCUGGAUGCUCCUCUUUCAGUGUUUGCUCUUCUAUCAUUUGUUUUUUUUCUUUCUGGUUCUUUAGUUUACCUUUAUUCUCAAAGACUGUUAAGUAUAAGAUUGGAAGAAACAAGAUAAAUGUUAUCUCUGGAUGCUCCUCUUUCAGUGUAUGCUCUUCUGUCAUUUUUUAUUCCUGGUUCUUUAGUUUACCUUUAUUCUCAAAGACUGCUAACUAUAAGAUUGGCUCUACUUUUGAUUCUUUUUAUUCCCUUAGAUUUGUUCAGCAUAGGAUUCUUUUUUAAAAAGUGAAAGUUGAAUUAUUUAAAAGCUAAUGUGUUUGCCAACUCAGGCGAAUAACAUUUUCCUCUACAUAAGUCGUUAAGGUCCUCUUGAAGUUUUAUUUACUCUUGUUCGUAUGUGUUUGUGUCCCAAAAUUUAUGUACAAUUUAGCUGGUUUAUUUUCGUAAAAUCUGUCAAUUCUCUGGCUAAGAAUAUUGGAUGAUGCUUUCAUGUUAAAGUAACAAUUUUUGCACUGUUCCGGAGGUGAAUAGUAGGAUCUCUUAUGUGAAAAUCAAGGGUGAAUUUUGGUGCCACCGUAAGAUGUCCAUUUGCAACUUUGGUAGUCAGAGCUAGGGUCAUGGAACAUCUGCUUUGUUGUAUUUUGUAUUAAUGGGAGCCUUGUGUAAUGGCUUACAUUCUUUUUAUUUCUCAUUGCAAUGGAUAACAUCCUCAAACUUUUCAUACAUAAAGCUUGAAACAUUACAAUAUCUUUGAAUAUUUCAAACCAUGUAGGGGGCUCAAUGAUGAAGGUAAUAUAGUAACUUAAAAUGGACUUGCACUAUUAGAAACUGCUAGGCCUUUUUAAAUUUCACUGGUGAAUCACUGAAAGUUUCAUAUAUAACUAUAUAUAUAGACAUAUAACUUCUACUAGUGGAUUGUUAAAUAUUUCAUAUAUAUUCCUCAUCACACAGGAAAUUAUAAUACUGACAAUAAAACAAUCUACUAUCCUUUUGGCUUGUAAAUGGAGCAUCAUACCUUUCAGCCUAUCAAGCAUGUUGAGUUUUCAAAGAGCUUUGCAGUUCUUAAUGCUCACCAUUUGUUUUGCAUAUAAUUUUAUGAAGAGAAAUAUGUUCUGUUUUCUUUAUGAAUUUUUGCUGUUUUUGGCCAAUUAUUGUUUGUUCUAUAUAGAGUAAUCUAUGCAUCUACAGCUCCUUGUUAGAUUCAAUUUUAAUUCAUUUGAGCAGGUAAGCUGUUAAUUUGACUAAUUCUGAAGUGCUACUUACAGAUGUUUUGAGAAAGAUUUCUAAUUUGCAAGAUAGUCUCUCAUGAGCAAGCAAAGGGUUGCUUAUGGAGUGUGUUAUCACUCAUUGACGCCAGCACAUGAAAGGUUAUCAAUGAUGAGCACUAUCAGUACCUGAUAACUUCCGAUGACAUGGAUCACGACGAAUAUAUUGGCCGUUGCAAUCAACCACCUUGGCUUCUCAAGGGUGAUGAGAAUGUUGUCAUCAACAACAUUGCCAAAGGCCCAGUAUCCAAUUAGAGCAACAGGGAAGUAGCAAAUAGCAACAACAAGCACCACAUUGUGCCCUGCAUAUGCAAAGGCAACAUCUCCCAGCGCACUGAGGAAGUUGAAGACAACUCCUGUUGUGGUUGAAGCCUUGUAGCUGUAAUCAACAUCUGGUUGGCCUUUCUCCACGGAUGCAACCCAGGCAAUGGUAGAGUAGCUGAUCAUAUCGCAGAGGUACCUGAGGGACAUGACAGCCGCGGCCAAGGAGACGCCUGAGAUGGAGUUGAAGUCGGGAAGCUGAGAGAGAACAAACUGCACGGAGGCGAAGAUCAUGAUGAAGUAAGAAAGCUUGAUGUUCUUGCAGUCGGGGCAGAUGGUGUCGUGGAACUUCUUGAUGGACCUGCCACCGGUGACCAUGUACACGAUGUCGGUGCCGACCUCCACGAUCAGCUGCUGCGGGACGAUGAUCCAGAGCCCGAGCUUUUCUCCAAACACAUGCUGUCCCAGCUCGUGGUAGCGGUCGAAUCGCUUGCCAGGGACCAUCUCGUGCAUCUCCACCAUCUGCCAUAGGGUGUACAAGGUGAUGAUCCACGACAAGACGAGCACCGCCACGCCAGGCCCCCUGAGUUUGCGGCAACAUUAGUCUGAUGACACUCAUCCUAGAUCGAAUUGAAGUUGGAUUCGAAAUCAAAAGAUGAUUUAACAAUAAGAUCAUGAGAUCGAACUUGCAUCUCGUCGAUCGAGACGUAAAGUCAGGCUUUAAAAGGAAGGCUUUAGAUGAGAUGAGAUGAGGAAAGUAUACCAUCCGAGUUCUGCCAUGGCGUAGGGCAAGCUGAGGACGCCGGCGCCGACCAUGGCCGUGACAUUGUGGAAGGCAGAGUACCACCACUUGGC